rnacentral:rRNA from 1 species
AGCGAACGCUGGCGGCGUGCCUAGCACAUGCAAGUCGAACGUGAAAAGGGAAACCUGAGUAAAGUGGCGUACGGGUGAGUAACGCGUAGGUAAUCUACCCCAGAAUCUGGAAUAACCUGCCGAAAGGCGGGCUAAUACUGGAUAGAGCGAGGGAACUCGUAAGAGAGUUUUUCGGGAAAGGGAGCCCGCAAGGGCCUUCGUUCUGGGAUGAGCCUGCGUCUCAUUAGCUAGUUGGUAAGGUAACGGCUUACCAAGGCGAUGAUGAGUAGCUGGUCUGAGAGGAUGAUCAGCCACACUGGAACUGAAACACGGUCCAGACUCCUACGGGAGGCAGCAGUGGGGAAUCUUGCGCAAUAGACGAAAGUCUGACGCAGCCACGCCGCGUGAGUGAAGAAGGCCUUCGGGUUGUAAAGCUCUGUCGGAUGGGACGAACAUCUUCAUAGUGAAUAGCUAUGAGGACUGACGGUACCAUCAAAGGAAGCACCGGCUAACUCCGUG